AGCUUGCUAAUAAUUCUCUAGUGGCGCACGGGUGAGUAACACGUGAGUACCUGCCCCCAAGAGUGGGAUAGCCCCGGGAAACUGGGAUUAAUACCGCAUAAAGCAAUAAAGCAGCAAUGCGCUUGGGGAUGGGCUCGCGUCCUAUUAGUUAGUUGGUGAGGUAACGGCUCACCAAGGCGAUGACGGGUAGCCGGUCUGAGAGGAUGUCCGGCCACACUGGAACUGAGACACGGUCCAGACACCUACGGGUGGCAGCAGUCGAGAAUCAUUCACAAUGGGGGAAACCCUGAUGGUGCGACGCCGCGUGGGGGAAGAAGGUCUUCGGAUUGUAAACCCCUGUCAUGUGGGACAUUAAAAGAUAGUACCACAAGAGGAAGAGACGGCUAACUCUGUGCCAGCAGCCGCGGUAAUACAGAGGUCUCAAGCGUUGUUCGGAAUCACUGGGCGUAAAGCGUGCGUAGGCGGUUUCGUAAGUCGUGUGUGAAAGGCGGGGGCUCAACCCCCGGACUGCACAUGAUACUGCGAGACUAGAGUAAUGGAGGGGG
rnacentral:rRNA from 1 species